CCCUUAGAUGUUCUGGGCCGCACGCGCGCUACACUGAUGAAUUCAACGAGCACUAACCUGUGCCGAAAGGUUCGGGUAAUCUUGUGAAAUUUCAUCGUGAUGGGGAUUGAUUAUUGCAAUUUUUAAUCAUAAACGAGGAAUGCCUAGUAAGUGCGAGUCAUCAGCUUGCGCUGACUACGUCCCUGCCCCUUGUACACACCGCCCGUCGCUGCCCGGAACUGAGCCGUUUCGAGAAAGCCGGGGACCGACGACUUGUGGGUGCGCAAGCACUUCUAGUCGAUGGAAACCAGUUUAAUCGGGAUGGCUUGAACCGGGCAAAAGGCGUAACA
rnacentral:rRNA from 1 species